rnacentral:rRNA from 1 species
UACGAAGGGGGCUAGCGUUGUUCGGAAUUACUGGGCGUAAAGCGUGCGCAGGCGGCUUCUCAAGUCAGGGGUGAAAGCCCAGAGCUCAACUCUGGAAUUGCCUUUGAGACUGAGUGGCUUGAGUACGAGAGAGGUGAGUGGAAUUCCCAGUGUAGAGGUGAAAUUCGUAGAUAUUCGGAAGAACACCAGUGGCGAAGGCGGCCAACUGGUCCGGCACUGACGCUGAGGUGCGAAAGCGUGGGGGAGCAAACAGG